rnacentral:lncRNA from 1 species
CCUUCUCCUGUUCCCUACAUUUGGUGCCCAACAUGGGUGUAAAUUGGAUCCACAAGUGAACUCAUCUGUGAGACAAACUCGGAGUAAAAGAGACAACACACGGAUCUCCCAGGAUGAUAUCCAGACUCGGACGAGGGACACUGGUGUUCUGGAGAGAGAAGUCUGAACCCAAGGUAUGGUGGGCCACAGUCCCUCUGGAGGCUCUAGGAGAGACUCGCACCUUACAUCUUCCAGCUUCUGAAGGCUCCUGGUGUCCCAUGGCCUGUGGGAAGCAUCACCCCAGCUUCCUGCCUCGCUGGUCCCCACAGCCUGCCCGUGUCCCUGUUUCUCUUUUCCUUUCCGUCCUCCUACAAGGAUGCUCCAACCCUGCAUGAUCUCAUCUUGUGAUCCUCACCUUCAUGACUUCCGCAAGAACCCUUAUUCCAAACAAGGCCACAUGCUGAGAGUCCAGUGCACUCCCUGGCCCUUGAAUCCCACAGACCUCUCUCAGGAUGCAGCCUGCUCCUCUCCAAUCAACUGCACCCCAACUUCCACCAUCUCUAAGCAACCCAUUUUGUCUGGAUCAGGAAAACCAGCUUGGAGACAAGCAGUGGCCAGGUGGGACAAGAUGUCCUCCUCCUGUUUCAUCUCUCCUCUGCCUCCAGUGUCUGCCCUUGCCUUGUCUGCUGGCAGAGCACCCUACCUGCUCCCCCCUCCUGCCUCUGAGACCCUGCAAGUCGCUCUGCACCUAGCAGCUACUGCGCUCUUUGAGAAGUUGGUCAGACCUGAUAGUUUCCUGCCGGCACCCUGAAUGGCUCCCACUGAACUUGGAAUAAAACACCAACUCCUUGUAUUUGCCUCCUGAAACAUCCAAGUCUGCUCUUUCCUGAAGGCCUUUGCACCUGCUAUUGGCCUCUGCCAGGAAUGUGCAUUGCCGCGAAUGUCACAUGGUUGGCUCCUUCCUCCCUCUCAGACUUUUCCUAACACCACCCAUACAAAGUAGUGCC